UAGGGAAUCUUCGGCAAUGGGGGGAACCCUGACCGAGCAACGCCGCGUGAGUGAAGAAGGUUUUCGGAUCGUAAAGCUCUGUUGCAAGAGAAGAACGGGUGUGAGAGUGGAAAGUUCACACUGUGACGGUAUCUUACCAGAAAGGGACGGCUAACUACGUGCCAGCAGCCGCGGUAAUACGUAGGUCCCGAGCGUUGUCCGGAUUUAUUGGGCGUAAAGCGAGCGCAGGCGGUUAGAUAAGUCUGAAGUUAAAGGCUGUGGCUUAACCAUAGUAUGCUUUGGAAACUGUUUAACUUGAGUGCAGAAGGGGAGAGUGGAAUUCCACGUGUAGCGGUGAAAUGCGUAGAUAUAUGGAGGAACACCGGUGGCGAAAGCGGCUCUCUGGUCUGUAACUGACGCUGAGGCUCGAAAGCGUGGGGAGCAAACAGGAUUAGAUACCCUGGUAGUCCACGCCGUAAACGAUGAGUGCUAGGUGUUAGGCCCUUUCCGGGGCUUAGUGCCGCAGCUAACGCAUUAAGCACUCCGCCUGGGGAGUACGACCGCAAGGUUG
rnacentral:rRNA from 1 species